GUGGCCCAGUGGUUAAGGGUUUGGCUGCUAACUAAAAAGUUGGUGGUUCGAAUCCAUCC
rnacentral:tRNA from 1 species